UACAAAUCAGAUGCAUGGAGUAGUUUGCCUGUGAUUUGGCCAGUGCUAGCAGUAUCCCCUGCACUGCUGAACAGCAUAGGAAUAACUACCAAGACCUCAGGAUGAGGAAGAGGGAUACCCUUGACCGUUGGAUCGAGGACUGUUGUACUGCCAGUACUCCAUAGAUGUAUAAUUCGUGGAAAUGGCUUCAGAGUGCUGACCAAGUGGAUACCUUUACUUACCAGAAGUCACUGCUUCACUUGAAUAUUUAGGGCUAUAUAAAAAGCAUUCUGCUCUUUAAUUGGCUACAUGGGAACUUUAGCCUACCUUGUGCGAUGCUGAUUUCUAAUUUUACAUAGUAUAAUGCUGCUUUCCAAGAAGCUGAACUGGAUGGAGCAAGAAGGCUUCCUUAAUUAAGUCAGUCGGCCCAAGUAAUGUCUUCGAGUGUUUCCUUUCUAGGGUUACCAGAGUAAUCCUCAUUAUUAUUACUGAGUUAUAGUUAGUUACCUGUCACCUAGAAAUGUUGAACAUUUAAGAUAUCACGACAGAAGCAGAAAAAGAAUACAAACUUCAGAUUCUUUAUUGCUUAGUUUGUAAAAUUCCAUUAGUUCAGUGUUCUCUAUAUGGCUGACAAAGAAAAUAUGUUUCAUGUAUGUUGGUUGCUGCUACGUUUUUAUUGGGGUGACUUUUAGUCUGUGUUAUGGUGCUCCAUAUAUUGCAGAAUGCAUCUGGUAGUCUCUGCUAUUCAUAUUUUUAUUAGUGUUUACUAAAAGAUAAUAACCUUUGCAUAGACAACUUAUUUUAAAACUAUUCAGUGCUAUUACAUUUUCAUUAAUAUUUACAAAACCAUGUGACAUACAAGCUGCUGGAAGAUAUCUUAAAGCUUAUAUGAUGGGCAACAAGACUGCCUCUGAUUGUCUCAGAUAUUACACCUUUAUCUAAAAAAGUUGGUCAAUGUUUAUAAGCUGAAUUACACAAUGCUAGCUCAUUAGUAUUCAAAAACGUACACACUGAUUGGUCAGCCCAACCAGGGUACCCAUUGUAAAAUUGAGCAUAUACCAAAAGAAAAAAAAGUCUAGCCGCUGAAGUCUGACUGGACUUUCUUGUAUUAAUAUAUGUUAUAGAAGUCAAUGCACAAUAGCAUAAAUCUUGUUAUUCUAGAAGCUUUCUAACUUUAUAAGAGCAGCAUUUACAGUAGGGACCUUUGUCCCCCUUAUUUAAGGCUUUGCAUGUUUCUUGAGCUAAGAGCUCGAGAGAUACGUCAGAGAAAAUACAAGGAAAAUCGGGUAUGUUCUGCAAAACUAAAGAAACAUACUUGAUUUUCCUUGUGUGCUUACCCUGUCCCUCUCAUGCCUCUAAGCUGUCUGGAUUUUAAUUUUUUUUUUUUUU